CAGCCAUGAGUGAUGAAAGACAGAUACCAACAAAUGAAAUUAGACUCUCUCUGACUAUCCUCAGAUCAGAAACUCUUGAGAAUGAAGAAUAGUUCUUCUGGUGUGAGGAUCCACUGGGUUGCCACUGACCCAUUGCCUGAGGGUAUGCGAUGAAACCAGAAUCAGCAACUGUAGAUGGCAGCUCAGAAGGGGAAACGACACAUCUAAUAACCAACAGGAAUGGCUAUUAAUUAGCUGAAAUGACAAUAAUUAACAGAAAUGACAAGUCUAAUAAAUUUUCACUUAAGUGUUGUCACAUGGCACUUUGAGUUUUAGCUUUCCAUUUUAAAUAUUAAUCUCGGUGGGGUUUACUUUAGAUGAAGAGUCAUAUCAAGUAUGACUAUGGAAAUAAUUCUGUACAGACACUCCAUCAAAUUAUGUUUAAUCCAUUUCACUUAUGCUAUGAUCAGUAGAGAGUGUAUUAAAAGCUCACAUUGUCACCCUAAAAAUAUAUUCUUUUUGUGUGUAUCUAAUUUAUGCUGCUCAGAAACAUUCAGCCACAGGGAUCAGAGGGAAGGUGGUUGUUUUUAAUUUUCUUUGAUAUCUUCAAAGAUAGGAAAGUCUCACCCCUCUG
rnacentral:lncRNA from 1 species